ensembl:snRNA U6 U6 spliceosomal RNA
GUGCUCACUUCAGCAGUACCUAUACCAAAAUUGGGAUGAUACAGAGGAGGUUAGCAUGACCCUUGCACAAGGAUGACACACAAAUUUGUGAAGCCGUCCACAUUUUA